rnacentral:rRNA from 1 species
GCUUGCACCUGGUGGCGAGUGGCGAACGGGUGAGUAAUACAUCGGAACGUACCUUAUCGUGGGGGAUAACGCAGCGAAAGCUGUGCUAAUACCGCAUACGCCCUGAGGGGGAAAGCGGGGGAUCGAAAGACCUCGCGCGAUUAGAGCGGCCGAUGCCUGAUUAGCUUGUUGGUGGGGUAAAAGCCCACCAAGGCGACGAUCAGUAGCUGGUCUGAGAGGACGAUCAGCCACACUGGGACUGAGACACGGCCCAGACUCCUACGGGAGGCAGCAGUGGGGAAUUUUGGACAAUGGGGGAAACCCUGAUCCAGCAAUGCCGCGUGAGUGAAGAAGGCCUUCGGGUUGUAAAGCUCUUUUGUCAGGGAAGAAACACCGGCUCUAACACAGUCCGGGAAUGACGGUACCUGAAGAAUAAGCACCGGCUAACUACGUGCCAGCAGCCGCGGUAAUACGUAGGGUGCGAGCGUUAAUCGGAAUUACUGGGCAUAAAGCGUGCGCAGGCGGUUAUACAAGACAGGCGUGAAAUCCCCGGGCUUAACCUGGGAAUGGCGCCUGUGACUGUAUAGCUAGAGUGUGUCAGAGGGGGGUAGAAUUCCACGUGUAGCAGUGAAAUGCGUAGAUAUGUGGAGGAAUACCAAUGGCGAAGGCAGCCCCCUGGGAUAACACUGACGCUCAUGCACGAAAGCGUGGGGAGCAAACA